rnacentral:rRNA from 1 species
AACAAACGCUGGCGGCGUGCCUAAUACAUGCAAGUCGAACGGGGAAAGCCUUCGGGUGAGUACUAGUGGCGCACGGGUGAGUAACACGUGGGUAAUCUGCUUUAGAGUGGGGGAUAACCAGUCGAAAGAUUGGCUAAUACCGCAUAAGACCACAGGAUCUGCGGAUCUAGGGGUCAAAGGUUUUUCGCUCUAAAAUAGAGCCCGCGCGGGAUUAGCUAGUUGGUGAGGUAACGGCCUACCAAGGCGACGAUCGGUAGCUGGUCUGAGAGGAUGAUCAGCCACACUGGGACGUGAGACACGGCCCAGACUCCUACGGGAGGCAGCAGUGGGGAA